rnacentral:rRNA from 1 species
UAGGGAAUAUUGCACAAUGGAGGAAACUCUGAUGCAGCGACGCCGCGUGAGUGAUGAAGGCCUUCGGGUCGUAAAGCUCUGUCGCAGGGGAAUAACACAAUGAAUGUACCCUGCAAGAAAGGAUCGGCUAACUUCGUGCCAGCAGCCGCGGUAAGACGAGGGAUCCUAGCGUUGUUCGGAAUUAUUGGGCGUAAAGCGGGUGUAGGUGGCUAUGUAAGUCAGGUGUGAAAGCCUAGGGCUCAACCCUAGAAGUGCAUUUGAUACUGCGUAGCUUGAGUGGUAGAGAGGAUAGUAGAAUUCUUGGUGUAGUGGUGAAAUACGUAGAUAUCAAGAGGAAUACCGGCGGCGAAGGCGGCUAUCUGGCUACACACUGACACUCAGACCCGAAAGCGUGGGGAUCAAACA